CUGCACUCGGUAAUCAACUCGCAGGGCUUCCCCACAACAGGAAGCUGAGGCACGAGAGUGGUGAGAUGAGUUCAGUUUACAACCUGGAAGUGAUCGGUUUACUUUAUCUUCAGUCGGUGCAAGGCUCCGGUGGGCACGGUUCACUUCUCUGGCUUAUCGAAGAUCAAAGUGUUCAUCUCCCAACAGCUUCGGAAGUAGCAUAGUCACAAAUUCAGUUGGCUGCCCGGCUUCAGUUUUCUCCUUAAUCCCGACUAUAUGAAUGUUUUGCCAGCGUGACCGAGCCUCCAAAUCUUUGAGUUUAGCUUGUUGUUGAAUGCAUUGAGAUGCUACGUUGUCAUGGCACCUCUCUUGCUCCUCAUUUCGUUUCUCAUGUGAUUUGGUGGCAGCCUCAGUUGAAGACACUUGUUUGCUGACUUCAGAUAGAGACGGCUUAAGGCUCAAGAGAAUGUCGUUAGCAUCAUAACUAGUGUAAGCAUCUUCUCCAGAACCCUUUUUGCCUCUCCUUCCUGUACCUGACCUUUUCAUUUUGUUUGGUAUGUUAUAGCUCACUUCAGAUAUGUAAAAACAAAAGUUGAAUGUCUCAGGGUGAGGUAAAACAUGAAGUCGAGUUGGAGCUCCUGGCAAACACGUUUACUCUAUACUAAAGCAAAUCGGAAACCUCCGAACGGUUCCUUUAAAUCUGCACAGUGUCUGAAGUGAAAAGGAAGUCUAAAGAGGACGAAGCACAUUUGAAUCUGUUACUGGACGCUGUGAGCAGCACGCAGCAGAUUCAACAGCCCUAUCAGAUGUGACAAUGUUUCCUUUAACAUCCUGGAGAGAAGGUGGACCGGAACCAGCUGACAGAACGUCAGAGAAGCUCUGUCAUGCUGGGCCAGCAUCACACACACACACACACACUCACACCACUGCAGGAGAUCAAUAUGCAGUGACAGAGCCAGCGGUUGUGAGUCAGCAGUAACUCUUCAGCAUUGUUUUCCCUCUCUUCUUCUGUUGUUUUCUCGUGCAGAAGUGAAGCCGACUGAAAAUACAAACAUUCAAACACAAAUCUGAAAUGACUCUGAUCAAAUCUGCUGACAUCAGUCAUCAGAAAAAAAUCUGAAAACAAGCAGCUGUUGUUUCUGAACUGACUGGAUGUUUUUUGAUGGUAAAUCUAUUUCUGUUAAAAUGUUACACUUAUUAUGUGCCAUGCAAGAAAAUAAAGUCUGACAGUCUGACAAAGCAGACAAGGUCAAUCGAACAACCGAGCUGGAGUAAUGGAACAUCAGAACCAGACACAGUUCUGUCCAGGAAACUUUCCAGGAAAUUAUGGAUCCAAAAAAGUGUCAGAAACAAAAACAAAUCAAAUAAAAAUAACGUAAAAAGGAACAGAGAGGAUGCUGGGUAAACAGUCGUUCUCUGUGUCUGCAGGCUGUUUAUGGACCAGAGAGAGUGUGUUUGUCCACACUCACUGUGAGGACACACACACGCAUGCACGCACACACACACACGCACGCACACACACACACGCACACACACACACACACACACACAGUACUGAUUGUAAGUGGCUUUAGACUGAAGCUUUUGCUAAAUGAAAACAUAAAGGCACCACUUUGUGCUGCCUGGUCUUUUUGACCCAAGAGGACAACAGAAGUUAUUAAAUUCAAUAAAACACCUAUAAUUUAAUCAAACUACUUAAAAGUUAAUCAUGAAGAGCUUAGUAUCCAACAACCCCCAU